CCGCCUUCCCGUUUUCCUUCUUCAGGUAGGUCCAAUCAGCUCGUGAAUGACAAGACGCCGAGCGCUGUUCUCCAGACGUAUUAAAUAGGAUUGAAUGUUCUUUUGAAGACCUUGACUUGGAGUUACACACUGACUUCAGUUCUUUGCGGGAAUGGGACUCACUCUCAGGGCCUUGUGACGGGCUGCUUUUUGAUAUCCCAAGCGUGCUACCUGGAAGACUAGCGCACUUUCAGGAUGUCGAAUUUUGAUGGCUCCGGAGAUGUGCUGAUUCAAGGCCGAUGCCCCUGACUAAGGCGUUGCAGGAAAACACAGAACACGUGUGUCCAGAGACAUGAGCCUUUUUGGGGCUGACUCUCCGCGCUCAGAGCUCGGAAAGAGCGAUGCAACAGACUUUUAACAUCAUAAAUCAAGAUACAGGUCCUUCUGGCAUGUCGGUCCUACUAACCUGUCGGUCUUUGGGAUGUGAGAGGCAUCCAGACCACCCAUGUAGUCACAGGGAGUGGCAGGAGCUGAACCUGGGUCACAGAACUGUAAUCACGACAUUACGCGUCACCCCUGUUUCUACGAUUCUCAAACUACAUCGCUGGGUGUCCUGUCUGGUGGGGAGAGAUGUACCCCUGAUAGAACUGGGCUGAGUCCCCCACUCUUGCAUUCCUGUACGAUGGAUUUUCCAUACCAGGCCGGGAUGUGACCAGUCACAAUGCUCUCCAAUGUACACACAUUGACGUUUGUCAGAGUCUUCAAUGGCAUGCCAAACCUCCUUUCGUAUCAAAGUCCUGCAAUAUGACUGCUCCAGGUGACAGCCAUUCUUUAUGCAUUCAGGCUCUACCUCACGUCUCCUGCUGUAGUUUUUUUUUCACUGAUUCUAUUGUUCUACUGUGCCCGCAAGAAAACAAAUCUUGGGGUAAUAUAUGGUGACGUAUACUUGAUAAUACUUUGAUAAUGAAUUUACUUCAAACUUUUCCCAUCCUGAUGACAUGUAAUGACCUCUUCUGGCCUGUGCAUGGCGCCAGAGAGCAUUGGUUGCCACGGUUUUUAGAGCACCCAAAUUGGUUAAUUAUUGUUUAAUAAGAGUCAUUAAUUGUUUAGAGUUGUUUGUGUUUUUUUCUCAAGCGACUCGCUCUUUGUAAUGGGGCUUUCUGUUUAAGCAUGUUAUGUUUAUUUUGAUAGCCUUGGGGAUUCCGAUAUUCUUGUAUUGUUUAAGUGGACGCCCGAUUAGUGCUAAUCGCAGGGUCCAAGUUUUGAGAAUGUUACUCUCACUGUGUUGCUAGGCCGAGCCAUCAAUGUUCUUUAGGAAUUAUCAUGAAUUAACUCUCAUCGCCGUCUCUACUCUCAUCGUCUGUCUUUCCUCCGCACUUGGGUUCUGAUAUUGCCAGCGCACAUUGUGACAUGAAGCGUCUCAGCUGGAAAGUUGACUGUUAAUUCCCCUCCAUAGAUGCUGCCUGUCCUGCUGAUUUCCUCCAGCAUUCUGAGGUGUUUUUCUUUAUAUUUUUUUCUCUAUUCCUGCAACUUAUUCCCUCUCCCUGCAACUUAUUCCCUCUCCCUAACCCUGACCAACUCUCCCAAUGCUCUUGCCAUCCUUUUGCACCAGGAGUAAUUUUCAGCAGCCAGUGGUUUUGUGGGAUGAACUUGGAGCCCACACGAUCACAGGGACUCUACACAGAGGAGCUCUGGGGCCAGGAUUGAACUUCGGUCCCUGGAGGUGUGUAGCAGGAACGCUUACUGCUGUACCACUAUGCUGUCCUACUUACGAAGAGAGUCAAGGCAGAUGAAUAGACGGAGAUUUCAGUCUACAUAACUCUUUGUGAAAUGCCUGACCUCUCCAACAGCCCCCAGUACUCAACAAGUUAUGUUUGGUUCAUGAAAGAGGGAGCAAAGGAGGGUCGCACUGCUAUCAGACUUCUAUCACGUCUGUCAGAGGAACAAGAGGCUCUGCAGACCAAUCUAUCAUGAAAACCAGCCUCCAAUCCAUUGACUGUCUACAUCGCCCACUGCCUUAGCAAAGCAGCCAACACAAUCAAGGCCCCACCCAUCCCAGACAUUCUGUCUUCUCCCACUCCUGUCGAGCAGGAGAUGCAAAAGUCUGAAAGCAGGUACAACCAGGCUCAAGGACAGCUUCUAUUCAUAGUCAUAGUCAUAAUCAUAGUCAUACUUUAUUGAUCCCAGGGGAAAUUGGUUUUCAUUACAGUUGCCCAUAAAUAAUAAAUAGUAAUAAAACCAUAAAUAGUUAAAUAGGAAUAUGUAAAUUAUGGCAGGGAAUAAGUCCAGGACCAGCCUAUUGGCUCAGGGUGUCUGACCCACUGUUAUAACACUCUUAGAAGAUCCUCUGGUGUGAUAAAGAUGUACACUUGAUCUUCUAAUGUAUCUCAUCAUGGUCUUACCCCUCAUUUACCUGCUUACCUCUGUGACUGGAAAGAGAUUAGUUUUAUUUGUCACAUCUACGUUGAAACAUACAGUGAAAUGCCUUAUUUGCAUCAAAUCAAUUCAACAAGGAUUGUGCUGGGCAUUCUGCAAGUGUCACCACACCUCUGAUGCCCACAGAUCACUGAUCCUAAGCAGUAGGAAACUAGAGCAGCUGAAUCUAGUUUUAUAAAAUGUCGACUGUUUAUUCCACUCCAUAGAUCCCGUAGGUGCUUGACUGGCAUUUUUAUAUGCAUGUCAUAAUGCUUAAU